rnacentral:tRNA from 1 species
GCGGGUGUAGUUCAAUGGUAGAACGACAGCUUUCCAAGCUGUACACGAGGGUUCGAUUCCCUCCACCCGCUCCA